rnacentral:tRNA from 1 species
GGGCGGCUAGCUCAGUGGUAGAGCGUUCCGUUCACAUCGGAAAGGUCAAAGGUUCAAUCCCUUUGCCGCCCACCA